rnacentral:rRNA from 1 species
UACGUAGGUGGCGAGCGUUGUCCGGAUUUACUGGGCGUAAAGGGAGCGUAGGCGGGCUUUUAAGUGAGAUGUGAAAUACUCGGGCUCAACUUGAGUGCUGCAUUUCAAACUGGAAGUCUAGAGUGCAGGAGAGGAGAAUGGAAUUCCUAGUGUAGCGGUGAAAUGCGUAGAGAUUAGGAAGAACACCAGUGGCAAAGGCGAUUCUCUGGACUGUAACUGACGCUGAGGCUCGAAAGCGUGGGGAGCAAACAGG